AUUAGAUAAUUAUAUGCUUCUGCAUUUAUUAAUAUUAUAUUUGAUUAACAUGUCAUAAGUAAUUAAAAAAAAAAAUUGUCAGAAAAAAAUUACUUAUAACGCUCAUUUCGUUUGAAGAUGAGUAAUCUACAGAAAAAAAAAAUACUGAAUGAAUACAAUUGAAAAGAUAUUGUUUUAAAAAGGUGCACCGAAUAUCACACGUAUAGUAAGAGAAUAUGGAACGAAUAAGUAACAGGGCAUCAGUCGAGCACUGAAACGAGUAUUUACGCCUUAGAAUAGGGUUAUUUUAUCUCUUAGAACCAAUAUAUAGCAUCAGAGACAAGAACAAAAAAGGUGCGACCUAUAACAAGCAUAUUGUAAGCCGAAUGGCGGACUCUAAACUCGUUGAGUAACGUUUUUCAUGCAGAAUGUAAAUAUUUAUAGGAUUAUUGAAUAAAGAAAUAACUAACAAUUACCAUACAUUUGUUAAUAUAGAGUUCACUAAAGCACAAGGCCAACUUUAAAAAAUGCAUAAGACGUCCGUAACUUUUUGAUCGAAACUAAGCAGACUGUCCAUAACUUUAUUUUCAGAUGAGGGUAACUUUUGAUUUAAAAUUUUAAGAAUUAUAAUUUCAACAAUUAGAAGACAAUUAACAUCAUAUUUGUAACCUUCACGGCCGUUUAUACUACUCAUUCACCACCAAAUGUGAUUUUAUUAACGCAUCAUACUUACACCACAGAGGUUUUAUGCGGGGUUUGUGGUACGGGAUCCUGGUUAUGGUUUGAACUUUUAUUAACUGAUGUGCGUCUUAUCGACGUUUUCGAUUCGCACCAUGGAUUUGUCAUACUCUUUAAUUUUUUUAGUUUUAUUAUCUGUUUUCGGUUUAUUUUCACCCCUGUUUCUUUUUAUGUGUAUUUUGAUGAAUACUCUUUGACGCUGCUCGGUAUUUAUAUAUCCCACCAAUAAGUUAUAGUGUUAUGUUUUUUUGAAUACGUUUCCUAGUAUGUUUUUUUUUUAUUAUUUCUCUUUGUAUGUUAUCAGGGAUUGUUAAACUAUUAAAUUACUCUGUUGUCUUAGUUAUUUAUAUUUUCAUAUACUAUUUCUAAUUGUUACACUAUGUUGAUUGCUCUAUUCCUUUUAUGUCACUGAAUUUUAACUAUUGUGUCUUUUAGUUUAGUUCAAUGUAAUGAAAUUUAAUGCAACUUGCAUACAAGUGAAAUAUGCAGCUAGCUGUAAAACUAGGUUUUAUACAUUUUUACAAAAUGUCCUUUCUUCAAGUUUUCUCAUUUACUGCAAAUCUAUAAAGUUCGAGCAUCGAAUGCAACAGGCCACUAUAAAUUGUAAUCGAAUCGUCAUUGGACUUAGAAUUAAGUGAUUUUUUUUUUAAUUAAAUGGAAAUGAAUAUCUUUUGAAUAUAAUUGUUUUUGGCUGAACCUUUGAUAAUUGUCAUGCAAUUGGGCAAUUUUGGCCCCCUCCCCAAAAACAAAAUAAUCCGGCUUUACGCAUGAUCUACUCUUGUCAUUUGCUGGCAGAAAAUCAAUUAGGCAUUCAGCAUUUGUAACCUGGUGCAUACACGCCACAUGCAUGUGUAAAAAAUACUUGUGUAGUCUACUUGUUCAAAAAUAAAAAAGAUCAACAAUGAUGUUUCAACAGAUUAUCUGCAAUGGUAGGAAACCACCCUCCGAACUUGACGAUUUGGGUAUCCCGACUUUAUAAAAAAUCAAACCCG
rnacentral:lncRNA from 1 species